GGCUCUGUGGCGCAAUGGGCAGCGCAUUGGACUUCUAGGCUGUGAGCUGAGCCAUUCAAAAGUUGUGGGUUUGAGUCCCACCAGAGUUG
rnacentral:tRNA from 1 species